UGACGGUACCUGACUAAGAAGCACCGGCUAAAUACGUGCCAGCAGCCGCGGUAAUACGUAUGGUGCAAGCGUUAUCCGGAUUUACUGGGUGUAAAGGGAGCGCAGGCGGUACGGCAAGUCUGAUGUGAAAGCCCGGGGCUCAACCCCGGUACUGCAUUGGAAACUGUCGAACUAGAGUGUCGGAGGGGUAAGUGGAAUUCCUAGUGUAGCGGUGAAAUGCGUAGAUAUUAGGAGGAACACCAGUGGCGAAGGCGGCUUACUGGACGAUAACUGACGCUGAGGCUCAAAAGCGUGGGGAGCAAACAGGAUUAGAUACCCUG
rnacentral:rRNA from 1 species